rnacentral:rRNA from 1 species
GACGAACGCUGGCGGCGUGCUUAACACAUGCAAGUCGAACGGAAAGGCCCUGCUUUUGUGGGUUGCUCGAUUGGCGAACGGGUGAGUAACACGUGAGUAACCUGCCCUUGACUUUGGGUUAACUUCAGGAAACUUGGGCUAAUACCGGAUAGGAGCUCCUGCUGCUUGGUGGGGGUUGGAAUGUUUCGUCGGUUGGGGAUGGUCUCGCGGCUUAUCAGCUUGUUGGUGGGGUAGUGGCUUACCAAGGCUUUGACGGGUAGCCGGCCUGAGAGGGUGACCGGCCACAUUGGGACUGAGAUACGGACCAGACGCCUACGGGAGGCAGCAGUGGGGAAUAUUGCACAAUGGGCGGAAGCCUGAUGCAGCAACGCCGCGUGCGGGAUGACGGCCUUCGGGUUGUAAACCGCUUUCGCCUGUGACGAAGCGUGAGUGACGGUAAUGGGUAAAGAAGCACCGGCUAACUACGUG